CCAGGUCUUCAGCUCGUCCACGUCUCUUAAUUGGGAUCCGAUCACAAAACGGUGAGUUUAGCUUCUUCUCAACGCCUCAUCCUCAGAAUCCAUAUGGAAAGUCGUCACUUGUAGUAACCGCCGAUUUUCAUAUGAAGUUUUCUGAAGAUAUGCGGCCAGCCUUUUGUUGCGUUACUUCUGGUUUGAAUUAUUUUUCUAGUAUGCGGAUCUCAAAGGACGAGAAUGAGGAUGAAGUGCCUGUGUUAUGUAACCCUAUCACGGGACAGUUCUUGGAGUGGAGCAUUGAGUUUUAGAAGCAAAUGGAGUUAAAAAAUGUGAAGAAUCAAAGAAUCAAGAGGAGGAUGAAAGCAAUAGACCAGUUGGUCGAUUGGGACCAAACCAGACCCGCGGACGAGAAGGAAUCGAGGAAGCAGUCGACCAAUUGGUCGAUUGCUAGGUCGAUUGACUGGUCGAUUGCCUGGUCGAUUGGGUACUUAAACCAGGUCAAAACCCGGUUUGUUCCGGGUUGACCCGGUUCGUUUUCUUUUCCUAUAAAUGUGUCUAAACCUAAUUUCUAGAUUUCUCAUGCUACCUAAGCAUAGUUUUCUUCAUUUCUCUUUGUAAUCAACUUUAAACCUCUGUGAUUCUUGCUUUUAUAUAAGUAUUUCUUUAGAUUCAACUUC